rnacentral:lncRNA from 1 species
AAUAUUUUAGAGACCCUGUUCAAUUUGACAUCGCAACAGCAACAAGAGAUUAAGGAUGUCAAUCUUCUUGGAAUGUUUUGGUUCCUCCUCAUCAACUCAAGUCUCGGAUUAUGUCGAAGGAUCAUCGUCUGAAUUGAAAUCUCACUCAUCGGAGAAACCAAAGAGAACGCCAAAAUCGAAAGGAUCUCCUCUUGUGGUUUCUCACUUCCCCGUCAACCAUUAUCCCUCACGCUUCUAGUUCAGAGGGUUAUAUCUUAUUUUUCCUGUCUUUUUAGCUUAUUUACAACUUAUUAUAUGUAAUUUUUUUAUAAUAUAAUUUCUUUUUUUUUUUUACUUGUUCAUGUGUUGGGUCUUUUCCACGCUUGGGACUAUGUUAUUUUUGGUACAUAUUUUAUUGUUCUUUAAUAUUAGUUACAGUUCAAGUUAUUAAAAUCUUUCAGGUUACGUUAGAAAAUGAGUAUUUAACUAUUUUAAAGAAAAAUACUUGAAUAAUAAUCGGAGAAAUUGGAAGAAGAAAAAAAAAUGAGGUUUGGGGGAAAAUAAUUGAGUAGAUUUGUGAGGAAAAAAUGUUUAGUGUAUUAAUUUUGGAGACAGACAAUAUUAUAUAAUAUAGUAAUCAUAUGAUAGCAUAAUAGACUGAAGGUUUAGGGAGCUACAGCGUGAUAUAUAAUUUGCAGUAAUGUAUGAGUCUCAAGCUUAUUGAGGGCUCAUUCCCGACUGCACCUUCUCCUCCCCGCCAACCAGCCGGUAAUGAUAACAAAAAUAUAUGUAUUUGUGUAAAUAAAAUAAUAAUUGAUAUUAUUGAAUAUUUAUUAUAUGUAAAAUAAUUGAUAAUAUAUAUUUUAAUACUUAUUUAUAAAUGGAUUGGAUAUAAGGUAUCAUUUGUAUUUGUGAAUAUUCAUUGUAAAAAAUUAAAAUAACAUUUUAAUUUAUAUUUUAUUAAGUUAAAUUUAAUUAAAACUAAUAUCAAUUAAUAUUUUAUUAGAUUAAAUUUAAUUGAAAUUAAACUUUAAUUUAUAUUAUUUUAUUUUUGUAAUUUUAUUUUAAAGAUUUAUAAUAUAUUCUUUUUUUAAAUAUUCGUAAGUAUUUAUAAGUAUUUGUGAGUUUUAAAAUACUCACGAGUAUUUUUUAAAUGGUCCAGUAGGUAACGGGUGUCUCAUAAAACUUUCUUACGCAUAUUCUCGCUUUAGACAUCAACAAUAUUAUUUGUAAUAUAAUCUACUCUUGUAUAACAACACGAGUGAUACAAUCAUCGCACAAAAACAAACAAGUAAGUGUGAGCUAACAAGGAAAACCUUUGUUCCCAAUCAAUAAAGUCAAACCACAUUCGCAUACUACGAAAAUACAUUACCACCAAGCAAUAUAUAAAAAUUAUGUCAUUAUCUCGUAAGCUAUCAUCCCACACCAACCUAUUUACCGAAGUAGGGCGAUUUGAGUCAUUCUGUCGCUGCUUACCAAAAGCAUCACACACCAGAACUUGUUUUCCCUCCUUCCCAAAAGUCUUAUGAGUAAAAACUUUGCCUACUUACCAAAGACUCAUCAACAAAGUAUUAUACUCAGCUCAAGCCAAAGCAUUAUUUAACCCUCUCUCUUCCCUCAACUUACCAAAGGCUCAAGCAGAAAGGAACAACACCCAAACCUCCACAUUUUCCCUGACUUACCAAAAGCCUUAGGCAAAAAGGUACAAAAUUCGGCUUUACAAGUUACAACAAGAAGACAUAACCAAACUCAUCUCCUAACAAUACCAAUUGAGAUGGACAAGCCACACCACACCAACUAGCACAACAAAUCAGCCAACAACACAACAUGGUCCAAAUAGAACAUCAAAAUCAACCAUAAAGUUUGACCAACAUUCACACAACUAUAACAACUUAUAUGAAUCAGUCUUAGAUCAAGAAAUUUAACACAUAGUGUAAUUGAUAUAAAAACCUAUAUGAACCAAAAACACUUGAUGUGUGUUAACAAUUUAUCAAUCACAAUACACCCCCAUAAUUCAUGUUAUUAUCGUUGUAUUGCACUUACUAGGUCAUGUGUUUAUCUGGUAUUCUUGAGUACUCUAGAAAUCAUUCCAAUAUCUCAUACACGUCAUACUUGACACUUAUAUAGGUGAUUUCAUCAAGUGCAUGUUAAAUCAUACAUCACUCGUAACAGAUAUGAAAAAUCAUUAAAAUCUUUGUUUAAACUAACACUCUUAUACCACAUAGAAUUUUAAUUACAAAAUUUAACCUCCCAAUAAUGCAGUCUCUAGCACUUUUACACAGACACCAUAAGAAUGGACAUAAUUGAUUUAAAAUUAAUUUAGUGUUAUCAUAAUUAACAAGUGACUUGUUUUUUACCCAUAAGAACCUUAUUCAUGGGAUCUUCAAUCACAAAGGUUGGGUUACCAUCACUUGUUUGUUUCCAAGUGACUUAAGUUUCAUCCUCCUCAAUGUUUCUAAAAUCAUGUUUCUUUCCAAGGGUUUAGUUAGAGAAUUUGUUAUACUAUGUUCUGACUUCUCAUAGUCAAUAAAAAUAGUUCCAUUAUUUAGUAGCUGCUUCACCAAAUUAUAUUUUAAUUAUAUAUGUUUGUUCUUUCCAUUGUACUUCUUGCUUUUAGUUAUAGGUAUACCAAUUGCAAUCACAAUGUAUUGACACAAAAGGAGUUGGUUUAUGUUGUAAUUAGAGGAAAAUCUUUCUAAUUAGAGAAAAUAUUUGUAGAAUCUUCUAGUUUAUUUUUCACUAUAUUGUUUCCUUAUUUCCCUUUUUUGGAAGAUUAGAUUGUUAUAAAUAGGUGUAAGGAAAUUGUAAUAUAUAUGAAUGAUAAUAAUAAAAUUCAUUCUCUUUUCAAGUUGGUAUCAUAACUCUUGAUACUCUAUUUCCAAUGCAAUAAUAGCCAUCGUCGCUACAAUCCGGCCACUACGGUUAUAGUCGUAGCUGGUGAGAUCGUUGAUAGGGCAAAAAGGUAUACCCAACUCUGACAACACAAUGCCAAAAAUCACUUCGAGAAAGACACCACCAUAUGUCACCACUGUCACCAGCGUGUGUAGCCCACGUGCCUAGUUCCAACUAGACUCAUCGUUACAGAGAGGAUUGUUGGAACCUCUUGAGUCUGUUCCAUGGGUGGGUGACGUCCCAUUUGGCCCAUAUUUGAGUAGAUAUGAGUUUUGAGUUUUGCUCCUUUUUCUGAUGUAGCCCACAUGUCUUCAUUGUCUCGGAUAGAGUCACUAAAGACACAUGAUUGCGUUCCAAGGGAUGUCUGAGGUAAAAAUUAUUCCUUUGGUCCUAAUGAUCUUCCAAAUGUGGUGGGUGUCUAUCGAUUGGAUGGUCAAAAUUUCUUAUAAUAGAGCUAGUACAUCCGAAGGAAUCUUAAGGGACGUUCAAGACUAUAUCACAUAAAUGGAAGAGGGUCAGGACCAGACGACACUACUUUUUCAAUUUGGGAAAAUGAAGAUUCACUAAUUAUGACUUGGAUAUGGCAUUCCAUGAUUCUUGAGAUAAGUCACAAUUAUAUGUUUCAUUCUUGUGUCAAAGAUAUAUGGGAUGAUUUUCAGAGUACUUUUUCAUUAAAAAAUGAUUUUCGUGCAUGCUAUGACAUUGAAAGAUAUUUAAUACAAAACAAAACUCUCUUUCUAUAUUAGAAUAUAUCAUGAAAUGAUGGAUCAUAUGUUAUUACAUACAGAUAAAUCCGUAUGUAAUAUUACCUACAACCAUUUUACAUACAAAUUUUUUAGGUUAUAUAUGAAUUUUUAUCAUAACAACUAUUAGUAUAAAAAUAAUAAAAAUUAUCAUAGUAGUUCAAAUCCAAAAAAUAAUUAAUAUAUCCAAAUUGAAAUUAUGGAAGUGUAAGAAUCCAUAGUACCUCAAAUAAAAAAAAAUUAUGUUUACAAAAAAAUUAAAUAUGUCAAAAAUCCAAAUUAUUAAUAAAACUAUAGAAAUGAGCUUACAAAUAUAAAAUAAAACGUUUAAAAAAUACAAUAAUUAUAAAAACAACUACAAAAUAUGUAGUAAUUGAUGAAGCUGCAAAGAAGAUGAAAACUUGAUUUCUAUACACAUGGUUUGAUAAGGUGAAUAAAUUAAUUUAAAGUGGAUUUGGAGUCAAAGUCUUUGUUUGCGUCUUGAGCAAGGAAUUGAUUAAUAUAAAUAGAUCCUCCCAAUUCACCAAAACCCAAACCUAACUCAAUACUUAGCUUUUUUGAUAAGGCAAAGAUGAGUGUUCUCUCAGCCAUAUUCUGCUGUUUCAAAUCCAAGGAAGAAAAGAGCCAUAGCCCUACGGUGGCAGUGAAAGCAGGUUCUCUAUCUUUUUCUCAGAGAUCUUCACCUCCCAUUGUUGUUUCUCAUUUCCCAGUUAACUCUCCCCAUUCACUCUUGUAACACUUCAUUUCAACCAUCUCUUCCAACUUGUAAGCUUUUUACCUAUUCAAGAUUCAUUUUCUGUAUUCAAAAUGUUAUUAUAAUACUCAAUAAUUUCACGUCCUAUAAUAAUUGAGAUAUAAAAUACUUUAAAUACUUUUAUCUUUUUCUUAUACGUCUUUUAAAAUAAAAAUCAUGACGAAGUUUCAUGCUUUAAAAAUAAUUGAUCUUAACUUUAGACAAACAUAUACUUGUUUAAUGAAAUUAUACAAAAUUAUGAAGACUUAUUUGACAAACAUAUACUUGUUUAAUUAAGUCAAAAUUAAACAGUUACUUACCUUAUACUUUUUAGGUAAGCAAAAUCUCGUUAAACGAAAUCAAAAUCAAAGAGUUUACUAAUUUAAUAAAGAGUUUACUAAUUUAUUAUUAAAAUUAAAUGUUUAUUAUGGUGUUAAUAUAUCAAUAAUUUAUUAUUAAAAUUAAAUGUUUAUAUUAUUAUUUCCGAGAAAUUGCAAGCAAAAGAAAGAUAUUUUACAUUAAUUAUUCUUCACUCAAAAACAUGCGAGGAUAGAUAUAAAAAUUAAGUAACAACGUCACAGGUGACGCAGUGUAAGAAUAUUUAACUAAAAUACUUCCAUAAAUUUAAUGGGCCAUUAUUUCUUCUUUAUAAUUAGGAGUUUUCGUAAAUAAAUUUUAAUUUAAUGUCAAAUCAUAUUAGUAUGACAUUUUUAACAACUUUUGAUUUAUAUAAUUUUUCAGUGUUGGUUUAAUGGUUAUAUUUAUUUUUUAAGUCUGAUUCUGACCUACUAAAAAACUUAAUAUAACUUCAAUGUUUGUUAAGUAAUGUUUCAUAGAAUAAAUUAUAAAAAUAAUGAAAUAAAUUUACCCAAUCUAUCAAGCCUAUAAAAGGUCAAUACAUUUUGUUUGUUAGAUAAAUCAUUAUUUAAUUAUUAAAGACCAAUACUAAAGGAAAUAGAAAAUUGUAAGUGAUUAAUUCAUUUUACUUUUUUUUGUUUUCUUAAAAAGGAAAAAAAAACCAUCAUUUUACUUUUUUUCUUAAAAAAAGAAAAAAUCCAUUAUUUUCCAGAUUACGUUUUAUUUAUCUUUCAAUAUGUCAUAAAACAAAACUCCUAAAACAAAAUAGAUCAGGAAAAACAAUUAUGUUAUAAAUUGAGUUAAGUCUUUUUUAUUAUCUUAUUUUAUUAGCUUAAUCCAAAGUCUAUAAUUAAACUUCAACCAUCAGUUAUAAACUUAAUUACAUAUAAACUCUGAAAUAUCAAUUAUAUUUUAAAAAGAAAAAAAUUAUAAUAAAAAUAUUAAAAGUAUAUUUUAUUAAAAUGUAUGUUAACAUAAUUUGUAUAUUAACUCAAAUUUCAAAGUAAUUUCAUUUAUAUAUCUUAAAUAUUAAAAAGUAUAUAUCAAUUAUGCUAAGUUAGAUGGUCUUUGUAACAUCCCAAUAAAUAUAGUUUGCAAACUAUAGUUAUUUUAAGGAGUUAACAAAAAUAAUAAUAAAGAACAGUAGAGAAUAGUAAGUAAGAAGAAGAAAACGUAAUUUAUCACGUGGAAUUUAAAGCUGUACAAUAGAUAAAAUGUACAAUGAGAGACCGAACGGUCUAAGGUUCAUAUACUACCGAACGGCCUAAAACGAAAGACAUACCGAACGGUUUUACAACCUAUAAAACAACCGAACGCUUAUAUACACAAGACAGUAAUUAAAACCUAACUAAGGACCAGACAGUUCAACAACAUCCUCAGGUUGCUCCAACUGCAGGGCUUCCUCCAAUGAUUCUUCAAUAACACCUUCUGCUCACAUCCAAUGGAUGAUCAUUGCAGUGAAGAGAAAGGACUGAAUCGGCAAAAACCGAACGGUAGCAAAGACAUGACAGAAGAAUAAGGGUAAGCUUAUGUAAUUUAAUUAUUCUAAAUUCACAUACAUUCAACCGUCACAAUAAUAUAAUCAAACAACAUUUCAUUCAUACAAUCAUCAUACCAGUAUAGAAAUUAAGGAAAAACCGAACGUUUUAGACUAUAAAGACCGACCACUUUAGACUCUUCCUGGACGGUAUGAACAAUGUAGCACGACGUUUCUAGCACCCGGUGUGGUGUAGUAACUGACAUUCAUACAUCAACUGCCACCCGAGGUUAGUCCUAAAACGACCAUCUGGUCUUAUGAUCGCAUACCUCCUGCCAUUCCCACACAUCACCCUCCUCUACCUGAGAAGGCGUCCUCACGGAAUAUCAGGAACAAAAUGAUAGCAGAGACUGACCAUGUUCAUACUUUACCAAUCAUCACAAAUCAUGAGACACUCCUCCUUGGAAUUCUCUUAUAUAACCUUAUAACUGAUUUCAACCAAAUAGCACACCAUCACAUUUAAAUACAACUCUUAUAAGGGAUAAAUGAUUUAAAGGACUGACCGAACGGUCAAACGAAUGAGUAAUUUAUUUAGAAGACCGAAUACUAUUUAAAACCGAACGUAUAGAAACUUGCUUGGAGAAUGAGGUCCAACAUUUUAUAAUAACACUUUAGAUUGAGUAUAAGGACUUAGACCGAGCACUUUAGAACUUGAACCGAGUACUUUACAACCUUGGCCGGAUGAUUUAACAUAAAAGAAAUUCUCUUCAGGAAACUGAGUGUUAGUACAAGAUUGGACACUCUUUUGGAAAUCAAGUGUCAGUGUAAGACCGAACACUCUCCCAAAGAAAUAGUAUUAAUAUAAAAUCGAGUACUUUAAAGACUGAGUGCUAGUCUAAGACCAAGCACUUAAAAGACCGAAACGCUAGUCUAUGACCGAACGCUUAGAAACCGAGGACUCUUUUAAAGAGUAUUAUGAAUGCAAUUACCGAUUACCAAGUCUAUGACUGAGUAUCUCCUAAGGUCGAACGCUCAGUGUAAGACCGAACUUUCUAAAUAGAAUACAUGAAUAUUAAGAUCACAAAUUGAACUUUCUUAACUCGUUUGAAACGGCUAGGCUAAGCAAAGUAAUAAUAAGAUCAAUAUAAGGUUUUAUAAGACCGAUCAGUCAUCAACUGAUUCCCUAAAGGGGGAAUUCAGCUAAGACUAAACGUACUGGGGAAAACCGAACGGUCCUAAUGACCCUCGGUCACAGUUCCAGAAUUUCACUAAGUUUGUGCAGAUUUAUAACUAAAUUUCAUAUCAAAUAUCAAACAUGCAAUACACACAAACAACAUAUCAUACUUCAAAAAUCGUUAACCGUAUACUCAUUAAAUCAUGCAUCCAAAGAUAGUCAUAAUUAAAUUUAUAAGUUUCCCUUACCUCUAAUUCCAGCUGGACUUCUAAGUCUUUUACAACAACUACUUCAAGGCUCCAAAUUCAAAGGUCUGAUCGGUGAAAAGAGUCCACCAUUGCAUCAAAUACACAAAAAUGGGUUUUAGAGAGUAAAUUGAUGAAGACAUGCAAGCUGGAAUAUGUACUUGCAUGCAAGGAAGAUGAAGAGUUUCAAAAGACCAAAAAUGCUUACCGGUUCAAAUGGAAAUCUGAUCGGUGCAAAAGAAAGCUCUUGUCUCCGGGAAGAAUUAAUCUGAAGACAGUUUGAUGAUCGGAGCAAGAGAAUGAUCAGAAAAUUAGAGAGAAGUUCGAAGGUUUUAGAGAGAAUGAGGAGAAAUGGAGUUUCUGGAAGAUGAAGGAGAAAGGUUGCAUGCAGAAAGUGUUGCCAGAUUUAAAAUUCCACUUUAAAUACAGCCCCUAAAAACCGAACGGUCCACUCCCUGCCUGCCACCUGUUUUCUACUUUCUAGAAACUCAUAUUUCCUCUGCUGCCACACGGUUACCGAGGAGCGGAGAAUUAAAUGAACUACAUGACUUGUCUUUCACUUACAUGAGAAAUUUGGAGGAGCACAACACGUGUACUCCACUGAAAUGAGGAAUUAAUGGAAUGUGACAGUCUUGUUAAACAAAAUACAGAUAUUAAAAAUAUGAAGAAAAUGAAAAUAUGUGAGACGAGGAGAGAAGAAAAUACAAUGAACAAUUUAAAGAAUAGUAAAUUUUAAUAUUUUAUAAUAUGUUUUCUUUGGUGGAAGAUUUAUCAAAUUAUUUAUUUGUAAAAUAUUGAAUUAUAUUUUUUAAUUUACUCAUAAGAAUUAAGAAAAGUAAUAUAAUUUUAUAGUUUUUGUAAUAAUGAGUAAUUUUGCUAGAAUACAGGUUAUGUUGACCAACAUGAUAAUGUCAAUAUUAUUGAAACCUACAAAUGAACAAUUUAUACCAUUUUAAUAAAUUUGAAAUAAAUAUUUAUAUCAUUUCUUAAUUUUUUUAAUCAAUGAUUAUCAUUGAUGACAUUAUAUAUUCAUCAUUUCUUAAUAUUUAAAUUUAUUAACCUUGACAUUAUUGACAAUUGUAUGAAGUUGAUUGAAUUAGGGCACAAUAAAGUAUUUACAUUAUUAGAUAUAUUUUUAUAUUGUCAACCUUUAAUUUUGUUAGGACAAUAAUAGAAUAAGAAAUAAAAAAUAAUAAUAAUAAAUAAAUAAAAGUAAAAUAUAUUUUCGAUGGAUAAAAAAGAGAAAAAAUAAUAUAAUAAAUAAAAUAUAUAUAUAUAUAUAUAUAUAUAUAUAUAUAUAUAUAUAUAUUUUAAUUUUCAAACUUUAAUUUAGUUAAAAAAAUUAAUAUAAACAAGUUGAAAUCUCAUACAAAAAUUAAAUGGAAAUUUGAAGGCUUAAAUCCUUAAUUGGUCCCCAUGUUAAAAAGGAAUUUUCAGUUUAGUACCCGUUUUUAAAAGUGUAUACAUUGGGUCCCAUGUUUUGCAAUUUGUGUCAAUUUAGUGAAUUAAUGACACUUCAAACAAGUUUGUAACAACAAUUGGAAGGUGUUCAAACAGUUAAUAAACAUGCUCCAACUCAAAAUGACUUGUCCACUUGCAAUUUUCAAGUCAAAUUGAUGGUUCAAAGAGACUGAAUUGACACAAAUUGCAAAACAUGGAAACCCAAUGUAUAUACUUUUAAAAGCGGGUACUAAACUGAAAAUUCCCUCUUAACAUGGGGACCAAUUAAGGAUUUAAGCCAAAUUUGAACCCAAUAAAAUUCAUUCAUACAUGUAUUUGUUGUUCAAACAUAAAUGAAAGUAGUCUAAAUAAAAUUGUCUUUAAAGUUUGUAAGGUUUAAACAAAAUUACAUUAUAGAAAACAAAUUAAAAUUAUGCAAUAAAAAAGGUGAGAAAUACUAUAAUAAAUACACAAAGAAUGGACAAACACAUGAUCUUAUACACAUAAAAUAGAAAAAUACAAAAUUUAUUUGUGAAAUUUCUUCAAAUAUGAGAUUAUUGUAAAGUACACAGCAUCUUGGAAAGAAGAAAUUGAAUUUUAAUGAAUAUCAUAAAAACAUACGUACAUAUUAAAAUUAUUUUUAAUCUUAAAUUUCCAAAAUGUAAAAAUAAAUAAGUAAACUGUUAAUAUAAUUAUAAAAGUUUAUUUUACUGUUUUAUUAACCUUAAAAUAAAGAAAGCUUAAAUACGUUUCUAAAAUUUUAGAAUUUUAUUUAACUUUUUUUUUUAUUUUGAUUCCUAAAUAUAUGUUUAAAUUAUUAUUCCUUGAGUGGUUCAACUAAGAACCAACAUGACAAAAAUGAUCACAUUUAAAAUCUUAAAUGAAAUUCUAAAAUGUUUAUAAAUUUAUUUAAUUUUGAAAACAAUCAAAUAUAAUAAUGGCAUAAAAUUUACAAUUUCAAGAGCUAAACUAAAUCAAUCCUUUAGGAAGACAAUCAUAUGUGUUGGUAUAAUCAUAAAUAAAUUUUAAUAAAUUUAUCUCAUUUAAAGAGAUUACUUUAAAACAUGUUUUAACACGUGAAAAUUUUAUUUCUAAUAAUCUUCUUUUAUUCUUAAUAUUAUGUUUUAAUAAAGAGUAGUUUUAAUUUCUUUUAAAUGAAAUUAAAUAUUAUUAAUUUAAAUUUAUUUUAUUUUAUUUAAUUUGAAAUUGGAGAAAUUAUAAUUUAGUAACUGUAAUUAACAAAUCCACAGACCUGGACCUCCAAAUUCUCCAAAUUCUGCUAUCUGUUUUGACCAUGAAACAGAAGAAAACAAAGAAAAGGGAAAGCACACAGAGGCAGAGAGACAUGUCCCUCCCACAAGCCCAAAGGCAAACAACACAACAUAUACUGUCUCCUCAAUCUCUCCAAAGUCCAUUCCACUUGCCACUUCUCCACUGCCUCUGGUUAAAAUAUAUAGAACAAAUUCCAAGCCUUUAUAGGUACUGUCUUUUUUCUCACACCACCCACAUGGCUCUUCUUCACAAGCUCGCACCUUUUUCCUCUCUCCACUCACCCUUCAACAGAAAGCCUCAUUUUUCUCCUCCCCGCCGCCACCUCGUUUGCUUCUCCGCCUCACCC